ensembl:lncRNA
GGGGUGUUGAGGGUACACUGGGCAUUGUGGACAGAGGGGUUGUUGAGGGACACGGGGUAGGGAGACAGAGAGUUGUUGAGGGUAUAAUGGGUAUUGAGACAAGAGGUUGUUGAGGGUAUACGGGGUAUUGUGACGAGGGUUGUUAGGGUAUAACUGGGUAUUGAUGACAGAGGUGUUUGAGGUACACUGGGGUAUUGAGACGAGGGUGUUGAUGGUAAUGGUCUGAGGGUGUUUGGAGGGUACACGGGGCAUUGUUGAUAGAGGGUUUUUGAGGGUACACUGGGUAUUGAGACAGAGGGUUGUUGAGGGUACACUGGGUAUUGAGACAGAGGGUUGUUGAGGGGACGCUGGGUAUUGAGACAGAGGUUUGUGUGAGGUAACACGGGUAAUUGUGACAGAGGGUUGUUGAGGGUAAA